CCGUGUUCGAAAGGGAAACAGCCCAGACCACCAGCUAAGGUCCCAAAAUAUAUGUUAAGUGGAAAAGGAUGUGGCGUUGCCCAGACAACUAGGAUGUUGGCUUAGAAGCAGCCAUCAUUUAAAGAGUGCGUAAUAGCUCACUAGUCGAGUGACACUGCGCCGAAAAUGUACCGGGGCUAAACAUAUGACCGAAGCUGUGGAUUGUCCUUUGGACAAUGGUAGGAGAGCGUUCGAAGGGCGUUGAAGCAUGAUCGUAAGGACAGGUGGAGCGCUUAGAAGUGAGAAUGCCGGUGUGAGUAGCGAAAGACGGGUGAGAAUCCCGUCCACCGAUUGACUAAGGU
rnacentral:rRNA from 1 species